rnacentral:rRNA from 1 species
AGCAGCCGCGGUAAUUCCAGCUCCAAUAGCGUAUAUUAAAGUUGUUGCAGUUAAAAAGCUCGUAGUUGAAUUUUGGGUCUGGCCGGGCGGUCCGCCCUCUGGGUGAGCACUGUUCCGACGCCGGGCCUAUCCUUCUGGUGAGUCGGCAUGUCCUUUAUUGGGUGUGCCGGGGAACCAGGACCAUUACCUUGAAAAAUUAGAGUGUUCAAAGCAGGCGUAUGCUCGGAUACAUUAGCAUGGAAUAAUGAAAUAGGACGCGUGGUGCUAUUUUGUUGGUUUCUAGAACCGCCGUAAUGAUUAAUAGGGAUAGUUGGGGGCAUUAGUAUUCAAUUGUCAGAGGUGAAAUUCUUGGAUUUAUUGAAGACUAACUUCUGCGAAAGCAUUUGCCAAGGAUGUUUUCAUUAAUCAAGAACGAAAGUUAGGGGAUCGAAGACGAUCAGAUACCGUCGUAGUCUUAACCAUAAACUAUGCCGACUAGGGAUCGGGCGAUG